UGGCUAACUCCUACGGGAGGCAGCAGUGGGGAAUAUUGCGCAAUGGGCGGAAGCCUGACGCAGCGACGCCGCGUGGGGGAUGACGGCCUUCGGGUUGUAAACCUCUUUCGCCAGGGACGAAGCGAGAGUGACGGUACCUGGAUAAGAAGCACCGGCCAACUACGUGCCAGCAGCCGCGGUAACACGUAGGGUGCGGGCGUUGUCCGGAAUUAUUGGGCGUAAAGAGCUCGUAGGCGGUGUGUCGCGUCGGCCGUGAAAACCUGUGGCUUAACCAUGGGCGUGCGGUCGAUACGGGCAUCACUUGAGUUCGGCAGGGGAGACUGGAAUUCCUGGUGUAGCGGUGAAAUGCGCAGAUAUCAGGAGGAACACCGGUGGCGAAGGCGGGUCUCUGGGCCGAUACUGACGCUGAGGAGCGAAAGCGUGGGGAGCGAACGGGAUUAGAAACCCUGGUAGUCCAGCUGG
rnacentral:rRNA from 1 species